rnacentral:rRNA from 1 species
GACGAACGCUGGCGGCGUGCUUAACACAUGCAAGUCGAACGGUAAGGCCCUUCGGGUACACGAGUGGCGAACGGGUGAGUAACACGUGGUGAUCUGCCCUGCACUUCGGGAUAAGCCUGGGAAACUGGGUCUAAUACCGGAUAGGACUCCUGGCUUCAUGGUUGGGGUGUAAAGCUUUUGCGGUGUGGGAUGGGCCCGCGGCCUAUCAGCUUGUUGGUGGGGUAAUGGCCUACCAAGGCGACGACGGGUAGCCGGCCUGAGAGGGUGACCGGCCACACUGGGACUGAGAUACGGCCCAGACUCCUACGGGAGGCAGCAGUGGGGAAUAUUGCACAAUGGGCGCAAGCCUGAUGCAGCGACGCCGCGUGAGGGAUGACGGGCC